UACAGAGGGUGCAAGCGUUAAUCGGAAUUACUGGGCGUAAAGCGUGCGUAGACGGUAGCGUAAGUCGGGUGUGAAAGCCCCGGGCUCAACCUGGGAAUUGCAUUCGAGACUGCUCUGCUAGGGUGCGGAAGAGGGAAGCGGAAUUUCCGGCGUAGCGGUGAAAUGCGUAGAUAUCGGAAGGAACACCAGUGGCGAAAGCGGCUUCCUGGUCCAGCACCGACGUUCAGGCACGAAAGCGUGGGGAGCAAACAGG
rnacentral:rRNA from 1 species